GUGGCAGCUAUGUCGUGGCAUUUUCAUUAGCACUUUAGCUAUAUGUCGGUCAACUGGAUUUUAAAUUUGAAGUCCGUCAAACUUCUUGAUCGUUGAUAUUUGCUCUGAGAUUCGUGCUACGCCUUUUUCUUCAAUUUGUGUUUUUUUAAAACUUUUCUUCAAUUUGUGGUGUGUCUUGUUUCGGCUAACCCCUAUUCGACGCUCACUGUGGCGAAUCGCCGGCGCAUCACACAGGGACGCCCUAACUAGACCGGCCCACUUUGGUAUUUUUGUUAUUGCAUUUUUUUGUUAUUCUGUUAUUCAGAUAAGGUCCAGAAUUUUAAAAAAUGUUUACACUUUCCGAACUUUCAAAAAAUAUUCCUGUGUUCAACUAUUCAUAAAAAUUCUAAAAUAUAGAAUUUUAAAAAUUGAUCACUUCUUUUCUACAGAAUGCUAGGAAUUUGGGAAAAAUAAUUUUAAAAUAUAUUCGUAAUUUAAAAAAUGUUCCGAUUUAACAAUUUGUUAACAAUUUCAAAAAUAUGUUCAGCAUUACUAAAAAUAUUUGCGGUUCCAAAUUUUUGGUCCCACUUUCAAAAAAUGUUGCCUUUUUUGAAAGCGUGAACAUCUUUUGAAUUUUGAGACCAAAAUCACAAUUUGAAAAUCACGAAGAAAUUCUGAAAACACGAAAAAAUUGAAUACGUGAAAAUUUUGUUUAAAUGGUAGAAAAAAUUGAAAAAAGUCCCAUUUGUUCAAACAUCGCAUUUUCACAAUUUUUUCGUGAUUUUAUAAUUGUUCUCAGUUUCACAAUUUUGUUCUCAAAAUUCAAAAAUGCUCGUGCUUUCACAAAAUGUGCAUGGUUUUAAAAAUAAAUAAAUUUCAAAAUUUAUUCGAUUUGUUCAAACAUUGUCUGAUUUUCAAAGGUUAUUUCCCUUAUAAUUUAUUUUCUUCAAAAUUUCGAAGAAAUUCCAAUAUUUUUUGAAUGUCUUCGGAUUUGACACUUCAAUCAGUUGUUAAAACUUGGCACUGGUCAUUGUCCAGAUAUAAUCUGUACUACUUCUGGCUGGAAAGUGGCCACGCACCAUCAACCUGGAGAGGUCUCGUGUUCGACUCUAUUGAGUUUCAUUUUUUCCUGAGUUUUCUCGACGCACCGUUGCACAAAAUAUUGUGCCGGCCCAGUUUGGGUUAGCGCGUGAGUUCAAGCCUAUUUGGCGCAAUGGGUGUGAAAUAGGAGCUCCCCUUGUUUUGCGAAAUCAUUAAUUAAGGAGUAUUCAUUGCAAAGAUCACUCCCAUAUUUCUAGGUUGUGACAAGUGACACGCUGCACAUGCAAGUGGCACGGUGUAUGUGCACCACUUUUCGUAACCUGGAAGUUUUCUCUUUUUAUUGUAGACUCGUUUAUUUAAAGUGUUUUAUCUCUUUAACCGUGCGUUCAAAUCUAGAACUGUUUUCACCGUUGGAUUCCUCGCGCUGAGAUCUUCAAAACUAGAUCACAUGUUGAUAAGUUUUGACAAAUUUUUUCACGGAAAAAAAUAGAAGAAAAAAAUAAACCGGGAGCACGGAUUUUUUUCCCUUUCCGAAAGAGGCACGCCCGUCCCUCUCGCGAAAAUACAACCGUGCCUCUCGCAGAAGCAAAACCGUGCCAAUCUCGGAAGGAAAAAAAAUAGUAAGUGUUUUUUUUCGUUUCCGAGUAGGCACGGCCGUGCCUCUUGCGAAAGCACAACCAUGCCUCUCGCGGCAAGCAAAACCGUGCCUCUCAUGAAAAAAACAAACAACGUGUUUUUUUCAUUUUCAAGAGGCAUGGUCGUGCUUUUCGCGAAAGAACAACCGUGCUUCUCGUGGAAGCACAACCAUGCCUCUCAAGGAAGGAAAAAAACAAAAAAUGUGUUUUUUUCGUUUCAGAGAGGCACGACCGUGACCCUCGCGAAAGCACAACCGUGCCUCUUGCGGAAGCAAAACCGUGCCUCUCGCGAAAAAAACAAAAAACACGUUUUUUUAUUUCUAAGAGGCGCGGCCGUGACUCUUGCGAAAGUAAAACCAUGACUCUCGCAAAAGGGAAAAAUAAAAACGCUUUUUGUUGCACAAAAAAAUUUGAGAUUUUUUUUUUCAAAAAGCUAAGGAAGACCGGUAGAAAACCGAAACAUCGAAAAAAUCGUUUAAAAAGCCGAAAACGCAUGCUGAAAAAUAAAAAAAUAAAAUUCGGAGGGAUCGCACAGAGCAUGACACGUGGCGGGUUGCUGAGAGCGUGUCUAGUGGUGCUGAUCGUUGCGAGCCUCCCGGGGGAGCGAUCGUCAACAAGUUGCUGCCAUUGUUUUGAGCUGGGAUUUAAAAAAAUUGAGAUAAUUGGGAAUAAUUAAUUGACCUCUAUUUUUGGUCAGUCUAUACCUUAAAGGGCCGAGGCCCACUACAUGUGCAACUUAGCUCUUCCCUCUCUCCUGAUUUCAUGAGUUUUAUCUUUUCCUUUUUCAUUUUCUUAAUUAGUUAAUUUUUUAUUUUUAUUUUGUGGGUAUUUUUGGAAUGUUGGAUGAGUGUAAAUGCAUACACCCAAAUACUAUACAAUAUUUGUGAAAAGUUGACACUUCUAAUAUUUUUAUUUGCAUAGACAAAAGGUGCAAUUUUAGUUCAAAGUUGUGUGCAUGUUUUUCAAUUUUUUAUAUCUAUUUUAUUUUCUUCUUAAAGAGCAAUACCAAUGCCACUAAUUCAGUGUUCCUUAUAAAUUUUAUUGUUUUGAUUUUAUGUUUGUUAUUAUGUCAUUUUAUUAAGUUUCGGCACUGCUUAUUCCUGCAAAAAAUAAUAAUUAAAAAGCACAUUUUUCUAUAUGUUGUGCAAAUUUUGUCAUUGUUUAUCUUAGAUUUUUAUCCUUAAUGGCUAUUCAAAAUGCCACUAAAUAUUUUUUCCUUACAAAACUUCAUUGUAUUUUUUUAUAGCUUUUAUUUCACUUUCCUUCUUCUUAAAGGUUAAUCCCGAAGCCAUCAAUUCAUUUCUUUCUUAGAAAACUUCAUUAUUUUGACUUCUUUUAGUUUUAUUUUAUAUUCUUGAUUCAUAAAGGGUAAUACAAAUGCCACUAAUUCAUUCUUCCUUCAAAUUUUUCUUUAGUUUGGUUUAUUUUUAGCUAAUAUUUUAUUUUUGUUCUUUUUUAUGGGUAAUACCAAUGCAACUAAUUCAUUCCUUUUUAAGAGAAGUUUGGCGCCGGAGAUGUUGGGCGCUAAGAUGUGGCUGGAUUUGGUCCGUCUCGAUCUGGGUCACCAUGAUUGAGAAUGUACAUAGACAUGGUGCUGUUUGACAACGACGAUGCAAAAAUUGUAGCAAAAUAAGUAAGUGGCAGCUAUGUCGUGGCAUUUUCAUUACCACUUUACCUAUAUGUCAGUCAACUGGAUUUUAAAUUUGGGUCAUUCAAUUUCUUGAUCGUUGAUAUUUGAUCUGAGAUUCCUGCUGCCCUUUUUCCUUCUGUUUGUGCUGUGCCUUGUCUUGGCAAACCCCUAUUCGCCGCUCACUGUGCGAAUUGCCAGCGCAUCACACACCAACGCCUUAACUGGGCUGGCCCAUUUUGG
rnacentral:lncRNA from 1 species